rnacentral:lncRNA from 1 species
CCCGCACGCGGGAACGGGCCCCGGGUCCAGGCUGCGGGCGGCCCAGGAGCCGCACCCGCGGGCUCCAGGUGCCCGGCCCGGAAAGAAAGAACCAAAGGGUUGUGGGUUCCCACCCACAGCAGCCAACAUAGGAGCUCAGGUGUCCAGGUAGAAGGAUGAGAGAGGACCAAUUUGGCUUGGAGCCCCAGAACCAAGGAAGAGCCCUGAGCUGGCCUAGUGCUGGAGUCGGAAACAGAGCCAGCCCUGCAGAAGAACCAGAAAAAGGUUGGGUGCCAUGGCUCACUCCUGGAAUCCCAGCAGUUUGGGAGGCCAAGGCGGGUGGACCACUUGAGGUCACGAGUUCAAGAUCAGCCUGACCAACAUGGUGAAACCCCGUCUCUACUAAAAAUGCAAAAUUAGCUGACCAUGGUGGCACGUGCCUGUAAUCCCAGCUACCGGCAGAAGAAUCGCUUGAACCCGGGAGAUAGAGGUUGCAGUGAGCCGAGAUCGUGCC